CCUACGGGGGGCUGCAGUGGGGAAUAUUGCACAAUGGGCGCAAGCCUGAUGCAGCCAUGCCGCGUGUGUGAAGAAGGCCUUCGGGCUGUAAAGCACUUUCAGCGGGGAGGAAGGCGGUGAGGUUAAUAACCUCAUCGAUUGACGUUACCCGCAGAAGAAGCACCGGCUAACUCCGUGCCAGCAGCCGCGGUAAUACGGAGGGUGCAAGCGUUAAUCGGAAUUACUGGGCGUAAAGCGCACGCGGGCGGUCUGUCAAGUCGGAUGUGAAAUCCCCGGGCUCAACCUGGGAACUGCAUUCGAAACUGGCAGGCUAGAGUCUUGUAGAGGGGGGUAGAAUUCCAGGUGUAGCGGUGAAAUGCGUAGAGAUCUGGAGGAAUACCGGUGGCGAAGGCGGCCCCCUGGACAAAGACUGACGCUCAGGUGCGAAAGCGUGGGGAGCAAACAGGAUUAGAUACCCUAGUAGUC
rnacentral:rRNA from 1 species